rnacentral:pre_miRNA from 1 species
GUAAGGAAGAGGAAUAAAGAGGGUUUAAGAAUGGUGGGAAUGGGAACAUAGAGAAAACCUAAACCGUUUGUUUCCAUUAUUAGGUGGAAAUUUGGCUCACUGUUUCCCAAUGCCUCCUAUUCCUAUUAUUCUUAAUCACCCAUUCCUCUUCCUUUUGACU